rnacentral:lncRNA from 1 species
AGGAUAAGAGCCUAGGAAGAGAAUUAAGAAAAACAAGGAGAGAAGAAAGGUAGGGAUAGGAAGGCUAGGAGAAGAGGAAGGGGGUCUUGAGGUCCUGGUGCCUAAGAAAAUUCUCAGAGUAAGAAUUUUGGAGGAAAAAUCAUGCCAAAGAGUUCGUAUCUUGAUCAUAGCCCUAUGUGGAUCACCAUUAGAGGGCGAACACUUGGGUGCCUGGUGGAGGUUCUGCCAGA